UCUCCUUUGCUCGAGGCUUGUCUAACUAAGCUAAGUCAAUAAAACUUUGUCCGCAGACACACAGAGCUUUCAGCACACAACUUGCUGAAGUUGUGUCCCAAAAUGGAGUGCUGCAAAUAUAUAUUGGGUUAGUUUCUUUCUCUACACAGUUCAAGGAAAUAUUCUGGACAAUUAUGUAAGGACAGAUGGUGCUUGGAUCCUUGGUCAGAACCACCAUCUAUAGAACUUAACUAAAGGAGCUUGUGCUAUCAAAUGUGAAACUGAAACAGCAUUUACCUGCAGAGCGUUUCUAUUUACAGCGA